rnacentral:tRNA from 1 species
AUUCUUUUAAUAUAAUUAUAGUAUAUGUGGCUUCCAACCAAAAAGAUUAGAAUCGCUAGAAAGAAUA